rnacentral:rRNA from 1 species
CGGCGAACGGGUGAGUAACACGUGAGCAACCUGCCCCGAAGACUGGGAUAACACCGGGAAACCGGUGCUAAUACCGGAUACCCCCACCAGGCCGCAUGACCAGGUGAGGAAAGAACUUCGCUUCGGGAGGGGCUCGCGGGCUAUCAGCUUGUUGGUGCGGGUAAUGGCCCACCAAGGCGACGACGGGUAGCUGGUCUGAGAGGAUGGCCAGCCACAUUGGGACUGAGAGACGGCCCAG